rnacentral:misc_RNA from 1 species
GAUGAAGAACGUAGCGAAAUGCGAUAAGUAAUGUGAAUUGCAGAAUUCAGUGAAUCAUCGAAUCUUUGAACGCACAUUGCGCCCCCUGGUAUUCCGGGGGGCAUGCCUGUCCGAGCGUCAUUACAACCCUCAAGCUCAGCUUGGUGUUGGGCCCCCCCGCCCCGGCGGGCCCUAAAGUCAGUGGCGGUGCCGUCCGGCUCCGAGCGUAGUAAUUCUUCUCGCUCUGGAGGUCCGGUCGUGUGCUCGCCAGCAACCCCCAAUUUUUUUCAGGUUGACCUCGGAUCAGGUAGGGAUACCCGCUGAACUUAAGCAUAUCAAUAAGCGGAGGA